CUACCAUGCGAGUCGGACGGUAACAGGCAGAAGCUUGCUUUUGUGCUGACGAGUGGCGGACGGGUGAGUAACGCAUAGGAAUCUGCCCAGUAGUGGGGGACAACUUGGGGAAACCCAAGCUAAUACCGCAUACGCCCUACGGGGGAAAGCAGGGGAUCUUCGGACCUUGCGCUAUUGGAUGAGCCUAUGUCUGAUUAGCUAGUUGGUGAGGUAAUGGCUCACCAAGGCGACGAUCAGUAGCUGGUCUGAGAGGAUGAUCAGCCACACUGGGACUGAGACACGGCCCAGACUCCUACGGGAGGCAGCAGUGGGGAAUAUUGGACAAUGGGGGCAACCCUGAUCCAGCAAUGCCGCGUGUGUGAAGAAGGCCUGCGGGUUGUAAAGCACUUUCAGUUGGGAAGAAAAGCUUCGUGUUAAUAGCGCGGAGUCUUGACGUUACCAUCAGAAGAAGCACCGGCUAACUCUGUGCCAGCAGCCGCGGUAAUACAGAGGGUGCGAGCGUUAAUCGGAAUUACUGGGCGUAAAGCGCGCGUAGGCGGUUUGGUCAGUCGGAUGUGAAAGCCCCGGGCUCAACCUGGGAAUGGCAUUCGAUACUGCCAGGCUAGAGUAUGGGAGAGGGAAGUGGAAUUUCCGGUGUAGCGGUGAAAUGCGUAGAUAUCGGAAAGAACGCCAGUGGCGAAGGCGACUUCCUGGCCCAAUACUGACGCUGAGGUGCGAAAGCGUGGGGAGCGAACAGGAUUAGAUACCCUGGUAGUCCACGCCGUAAACGAUGUCAACU
rnacentral:rRNA from 1 species